rnacentral:tRNA from 1 species
UGCGGAGUAGCCAAGCGGAAAGGCAACGGGCUUUGAACCCGCGAGCGGCAGUUCGAUUCUGCCAUCCGCAUCCA